rnacentral:tRNA from 1 species
GCCGUUGUAGCUUAGUUGGUAGAGCAACUGAUUCGUAAUCAGUAGGUCGGGUGUUCGAUUCACCUCAACGGCACCA